ensembl:miRNA
CUCGGCUGGCUUUUGGGCGUCGGUCGGUCGGUCGGUCGGUCAGGUUCGGCCAAGUCUU